UGGGAAUAUUGGAGUACACACUGGGAGAUACACACCGGGAUCUCGGGAUAGCGGAUACCAGGGAAAGCUGGAGAGCGGUGUCCCCAGGUGCUGCAGGCAGAGCUGGGACCUUCCCCUUCCUUGGACACCUCUGGUGGUCCUUCAAGAUGUGACCCCAGUGUUCCCAUGUGUCCCCAUGGCCUCCAGUGGCCUUUCCAGAUUGUGCUGAGCUUCGAGGACCGGCAGGGCCUGGACUGGACCAGCUAGGCCUUGACCCCCAGAGCACAUGGAGGUACCUGAAAUCCACAACUGGACCCCAAAAAUGCACACCUGGAUAUAAAAAAAUACAUCUGAACCCCAGAAUACAAACCUGAACCCCAAAAUAUACACUUGGAGCCCAAAAUUACGCCUCAAAAUUCUAAAAAACACCCCAUAAACCCUGAACCCCCAAACGUGGAGAUACUUGAAAUACAUCUGAACCCCAGGGGUUUGGGGGGUCCUAGAGCUGUGACCUCCAUAUUUGGGGUUUUCCCAGGGCUGGGACCCCCCUGUUUUUCAGCUUUUCGGGCAUCUCAGGGUGGUGUUUGGGGUCCCAGGGUGGUGACUCCCCUGCUUUUGGGGUCUUGGGUUGUCCGAGGGUGAUGUUUGGGGGUCCCAGGGCAGGGAUUCCCCCCCCCCCCAAGGUGGAAGCCUCAUCCCUUUGUCCCCAAAUGUGGGUCCCCAAUACUGGGCAGGGUUCCCCAAAACCAGGGGGGUCCCCAAAACCUCUGGAGGGGGGCCCCAACCACCCAAGGCUUUGUUGUUAAUG